rnacentral:misc_RNA from 1 species
CUGCGAGUUCGCGGGAGAGUAAGUUAUUGCCAGGGUUUUUUUUUUAUACUUUAAACAUUGAUUUUAUUUUUUAUGUUUUUAGAUGUUCAUGUUUUUGAAUGUUUUAUUUAAAUAAUAUAAAAAAUAAAAUAUAUAUUGACAUGGAUUAAACAAAGAUAUAUAUUAUUCUAUGUUGCAUAAGCAAAUUGGCAAAAUAGAGAUGGAAGAUAAAAAUAUGGUCAAAGUAAUAAGAGUCUAUGGUGAAUGCCUAGGA